UGCCUACGGGACGCAGCAGUAGGGAAUCUUCCACAAUGGACGAAAGUCUGAUGGAGCAACGCCGCGUGCAGGAAGAAGGUCUUCGGAUUGUAAACUGUUGUCGCAGGGGAAGAAGACAGUGACGGUACCCUGUGAGAAAGUCACGGCUAACUACGUGCCAGCAGCCGCGGUAAUACGUAGGUGACAAGCGUUGUCCGGAUUUACUGGGUGUAAAGGGCGCGUAGGCGGGAUAGCAAGUCAGUCGUGAAAUGCCGAGGCUUAACCUCGGAGCUGCGAUUGAAACUGUUAUUCUUGAGUAUCGGAGG
rnacentral:rRNA from 1 species